ACUAGUUUGGCAGAAUAUUGUGAUUGAUUUAGAAUCAUUUUAUAUUAGUUAAACACUUUUAUC
rnacentral:tRNA from 1 species